UUUCUACAAAAGAACAUAUUGUAAAACUGUAAUGAUCCAGAGAAGAUCCGCAGGGCCCCUGCACAAGGACGACACACAAUAUCGUGAAGAGUUUUGUAUUUUU
ensembl:snRNA U6 U6 spliceosomal RNA